AUUGAACGCUGGCGGCAUGCCUUACACAUGCAAGUCGAACGGUAACAGGUCUUCGGAUGCUGACGAGUGGCGAACGGGUGAGUAAUACAUCGGAACGUGCCCGAUCGUGGGGGAUAACGGAGCGAAAGCUUUGCUAAUACCGUAUACGAUCUACGGAUGAAAGCAGGGGACCGCAAGGCCUUGCGCGGACGGAGCGGCCGAUGGCAGAUUAGGUAGUUGGUGGGAUAAAAGCUUACCAAGCCGACGAUCUGUAGCUGGUCUGAGAGGACGACCAGCCACACUGGGACUGAGACACGGCCCAGACUCCUACGGGAGGCAGCAGUGGGGAAUUUUGGACAAUGGGCGAAAGCCUGAUCCAGCCAUGCCGCGUGCAGGAUGAAGGCCUUCGGGUUGUAAACUGCUUUUGUACGGAACGAAAAGACUCUUUCUAAUAAAGAGGGUCCAUGACGGUACCGUAAGAAUAAGCACCGGCUAACUACGUG
rnacentral:rRNA from 1 species